ACCUUCAAUUCUCUCCCAGGUCUCUCCCUGAAGAACGCGUCGUGAGCAGUCGUCUCUCUCUCGUGCUGAUCGUGGUAGUGUUUAGCGGAUCCCAAGCAUAGGUGACAUCUGGUACAAGUCCCACGCUAGACAAAAUGCCAUUCAUGCCCCAAAACUCCCAACCAAGUUCUGGGUUCUCCAGUGCCGCAGGCCAGCAAAGUCCCAGCAGGAACUAUGGGUCUGCCGAGCAUAGCAGAUUGCGACGGCACAUCCAGUCGCAGUGGAAGAAGAGGAACAGUGAAAGUAUUGAGUAAUGAAGCCUUGUAUUUAACUUUCAUGUGACUUGAAAAGCGGAUUUGGUCGUUACCUAGAAGGCUCUUGAUACUUGGCCUGAAGAAAGGGGAGUGUAAUCCUGGUUUCGGAAAAAGGCAAGACCUCACUAGGAUGAAGGACAUCUUGGAAUUUGCUAGAUGGUGCAGAAUUCUGAGAAGUAUAAAUGGACUGCCUUCCCCCAUCAGUUGCACAUUAUCAGGCAAGA